rnacentral:rRNA from 1 species
GGCGCGAAAACUUUACAAUGCUGGCAACAGCGAUAAGGGAACCUCGAGUGCCAGGUUACAAAUCUGGCUGUCGAGAUGCCUAAAAAGCAUUUCAUAGCAAGGGCCGGGCAAGACCGGUGCCAGCCGCCGCGGUAACACCGGCGGCUCGAGUGGUAACCGUUAUUAUUGGGUCUAAAGGGUCUGUAGCCGGCCGGAUAAGUCUCUUGAGAAAUCUGGCAGCUUAACUGGCAGGCUUUCAGGAGAUACUGUCUGGCUCGAGGCCGGGAGAGGUGAGAGGUACUUCAGGGGUAGGGGUGAAAUCUUGUAAUCCUUGAAGGACCACCAGUGGCGAAGGCGUCUCACCAGAACGGACCUGACGGCAAGGGACGAAAGCUAGGGGCACGAACCGGAUUAGAAACCCUUGUAGUCC